AGCGCAGGCGGUUUGAUAAGUCUGAAGUUAAAGGCUGUGGCUCAACCAUAGUUCGCUUUGGAAACUGUCAAACUUGAGUGCAGAAGGGGAGAGUGGAAUUCCAUGUGUAGCGGUGAAAUGCGUAGAUAUAUGGAGGAACACCGGUGGCGAAAGCGGCUCUCUGGUCUGUAACUGACGCUGAGGUGCGAAAGCGUGGGGAGCAAACA
rnacentral:rRNA from 1 species